CUCUCUCUCCCUCCCUGUAAUCAGCACCACCUUGGUCGUGCACCUCUUUUCAGCCGUCGUCAUCUCUGCCUGCAUAAAAGCCUGCCAGAUCCUGGAAACCCUCGUCAGAGUAUUAACGUUCCACCGUGUGCUCCUUCCGUGUUUCCCGCCUUGCUAACCUCUUCCACCACGCCGCCAAGCCAUCCAUCUGCUCACGCCACCGCCUGCCGCACGCUCCCUGUCUCGACAACCCGCCAUUAAGCCUUGAAGGUCUAAUUCCCAAUACCAUCCAUCAAUUUUCUGAGCCGCUCCUCCCCACUAGGGUCGCGGGCGUGCUGGAGCCUAUCCCAGCUAUCAUCGGGCAGGAGGCGGGGGACACCCUGAACUUGUUGCCAGCCAAUCGCAGGGCACAUAUAAACAAACAACCAUUUGCACUCACAUUCACACCUACGGGGAAUUUAGAGUUGUCAAUUAACCUACCAUACAUGUUUUCGGGAUGUGGGAGGAAACCGGAGUGCCCGCAGAAGACCUACGCAGGCGGGGCCGGGGAUUGAACCCCGGACCUCAGAACUGUGUUCUAACCAGUCGGCCACCGUGCCGCCAAUUCCCAAUACCUUUCCAAUAAACCAUUCACCAUAAACUUCUUAGCCUCUGCUUGCUUCUGGGUCCAGUCACAACUGAUACCUUCGUAUCGUGACAGAAUACUCUGGCCUCCAUGGACCCAGUAACCCGGAUACGCUAAAAUAAGCACUCACCCUCCAAGGCGCCCGUAUAGGAAGACAAAGCUCUCCAGGAAAUCAUGGAAUCAUUAACCACUCUCACGCAACAGGUUUCCCUGCUUUCUUCCAAAUUGCAGUCCGACUACCCUCCCGUAAUUACUCCUUCCUAGCCACCAGUCUCUGAUCCAUUCCGCCUCCCAUACAAAGAGCCUCAUGUUCCUCCGCCAGAGCCCUACUCCAGGGAGGGGUUACCAGUUCCUGGUAGAUUGGGAGGGGUAUGGACAGGAGGAACGCUCCUGGAUGACUCUUUGAUUGGGGUCUUUUACGUGCCCCACGUUGGGAAGCCGGGCAGGACUCUUGGAGGUGUCCAUUGAGAGGGGGGUACUGUCAUGAGGUAUCCUGUUAGUUCCUGUUUUGAAGCUUGGGUGGCGCUUUGCGCCCUUCUCGCCCUCUGUCUCACCCCUUAUUUCUCUUCCUUCCCUAUGAUCAGCACCACCUUGGUCGCACACCUGUAUUCAAUCAGCCGUCAUCAUCUCUGCCUGCAUAAAAGCCUGCCAGAUCCUGGAAACCCUCACCAGAAUAUUAACGUUCACCCGGGUGCUCCUUCUGUGUUCCCCGCCUUGGUGACCUCUUCCACCACGCCUCCAAGUCAUCCACCUGCUCACACCACCGCCUGCUGCGUGCUCCCUGUCUCGACGACCCGCCAUUACGUCUCGAAGGUCCAAUUCCCAAUUCCUUUUCAAUA